rnacentral:lncRNA from 1 species
UUUUAAAAUAUUUUGUAGUUUCAGCAUUUUUUUUUACUAUGAUAAAUAUCUGUCAAGGAAAAUGCCUUCCCCAUUGGAUUAUUCAAUGCUCUUACUGAAAGCAAAGAGAAAAACAUGAAAGGUCAUUGUGCCUUUAAAUCAAACUGUGACAUAUUAGAACUACUCUUCUUUUAUUAUAUAGUCAUAGAAACACGUUAAACAACUAGAUAAGACAUAAUUGUUAUUGUUCAAUAAAAUAUAAGUACAGUAUGUUUUGGAUACGCAUAUAAGGCAAAGUAUCUUUUUUUAUUUGCACAAUUAGAUACACACAAAUAUAUUGGUUAUGUGACAAUUUUUACAUUGGCGUAUCAUAAUGAAUAUCUAAAUAUUAUGAUACAGGUGAAAAUUGAUGUAAUAAUUUCUGUACAUGUUAAGGUAGAGAAAUCCAUAUGGUUACAAUACCAUCAUUAGAAUGGCUGAACAAUAAAAAUUAUUGAGUUAAUAAUAAUGUUAGUAAUAAUAACAAUGCCAUAUAUUGACUUACUAUGUAGUUCAGGCACUAUUAUAGGCAUCAUACAUUCAUUUAUUGUAUCAUAAUCCGCAGUAAAAUAUCAUGAGUUUGGUACUACUAUGGAUUUCAUUUUACAGAACUGACACAGAGAGUUUGAGUAAUUUGUUCAUGAUCAAACAUAAGUGUAAUAAUCUUAUGUGUGUGGGUUUUGAAGAGGAGCAACAGUUACCUGGUCAAAGAUUUAACUUCCUCAUCUAUAAAAUGGUUUUUAUAUCUGUUACAUAUGUAUAAUUUGUUCUCAGACAUUGCUGUGAAGACUAAAUAAAAUGCCAUAUGUGGAGGUCACAAUGUAAUACCUAACACCAGGUAACUGUUUAAUAGUUAGAUAUUUUUAUUGGUAUCCUAGAUGCUA